AUGGAAAAAAUAUCUGGGGUCCCUGGCCUCAUGACCACCUUGCUGCUCAUCCUGCUCGCUGGCCCCCAAAAGGUUGCAGCCAAAUGUGGUCUCUCCUUCGCCUGCCCCAAAGGAUUCAAAUGCUGUGGCGACAGCUGCUGCCAGGAGAAUGUGUUCUUCCCUGGCCCCUUGAGGAUCUUGGUCAUCAUGUUCCUGAUCAUCCUGCCCCUCUUGUGCAUCUGUGACUGGCUAAGCACUACUGUCCCAGCUGCAGAGACCCAGACCCAGAUGCCCUGACGGAUUGCCGGGGACCCCGGGAACUGCCCUCCAUCAUCCCCCUAGAGAGGGUCAGAGCAUCCCUCUCUGCGCCCCCACCCUCCUACAGUGAGGUGAUUCUGAAGCCUACCUGGGGCCCAACUUCCACAGAGCCACCCCCUCACUACGGCUUCAGGCCUGAAGAAUAUACCGGGGAUCAGAGGGCCAUUGACAACCCGGCCUUCUGAGUCACCUCCGGCCUAGAAUCUUGCCAUCAGCAACCUCCUCCCCAGUGCCUCCUGGAUCAAGCUAGAGACUGCUGGCACCCCAGGAAUGUCCCUGCCCAUCCUGCCGUGUCUCUGUUCAUUCUUGGAUUUAACUUAUGGCUUUUUCUGCCUCUGUUCCCAACCCAGCUGCCUCUGUUGUCCUGAGGGUCAGGCUGGAGUGACAGUAUCUGCCCACCCCCCAACCCAAGAAAGGGGCUGCUGGAAGGAAAAUGCCGACCAUUGGAGGUGCCCAACAGCAGAAUGGGCUACUCCGAGGGGUAGUAAAAGCUCCAUUUCUGGAGUUAUGCAAAUCUUGACUGGACAGUCAGCUCUGAGAUUUUAUCAGGGCACUUCUAUACCUGUGGGAGACUGGACUGGAUGAGCUCUGAGCCAGCUUCCAAUCUUACUUGAAUAGAGAACUCACUGUACCCACCCCCAACACGUGGUA